rnacentral:rRNA from 1 species
GACGAACGCUGGCGGCGUGCUUAACACAUGCAAGUCGAACGGAGUGGCGAACGGGUGAGUAAUACGUGGGUGAUCGGCCUUGCACUUCGGGAUAAGCUUGGGAAACUGGGUCUAAUACCGGAUAGUGCAAGAUGAGCUCGCGGCCUAUCAGCUUGUUGGUGGGGUAAUGGCCUACCAAGGCGUCGACGGGUAGCCGGCCUGAGAGGGUGUACGGCCACAUUGGGACUGAGGGACGGCGCAGAGUCAUACGGGAGGCAGCAGGGGGGAAUCUUGCACGAUGGGCGGAAGCCUGAUGCAGCGACGCCGCGUGGGGGAUGAAGGCCUUCGGGUUGUAAACUCAUUUCGACAGGGACGCGGUACCUAUAUAAGAAGCACCGGCUAACUACGUGCCAGCAGCCGCGGUAAUUC